GACGAACGCUGGCGGCGUGCCUAACACAUGCAAGUCGAGCGAGAAUCUUCAAAUUGAUUCCUUCGGGAUGAUUUUUGGAGAGGAAAGCGGCGGACGGGUGAGUAACGCGUGAGUAACCUGCCCCAUAGAGCGGAAUAGCCUAGUGAAAACUGGAUUAAUGCCGCAUAAUGUGUGAUUAUCGCAUGAUUUUCACACCAAAGAUUUAUCGCUAUGGGAUGGACUCGCGUCUGAUUAGAUAGUUGGUGGGGUAACGGCCUACCAAGUCGACGAUCAGUAGCCGAACUGAGAGGUUGAUCGGCCACAUUGGGACUGAGACACGGCCCAGACUCCUACGGGAGGCAGCAGUGGGGGAUAUUGCACAAUGGGGGAAACCCUGAUGCUGCAACGCCGCGUGAAGGAAGAAGGUCUUCGGAUUGUAAACUUUUGUCGCAAGGGAAGAAAAAAAUGACGGUACCUUGUGAGAAAGCCACGGCUAACUACGUGCCAGCAGCCGCGGUAAUAC
rnacentral:rRNA from 1 species